rnacentral:ncRNA from 1 species
UAGACCGACGCCAAAGUCCCCGACUCCCAGGCAGCACACGAGAAGACCAUCACUUCACUUCUCCCCGCAAUGGCCGGAGUCAACAUGAUCUACGGAUCC